rnacentral:lncRNA from 1 species
CUGCAAUGCCUGAUGGUUUGGUCCUGUAGAUUCAUAGCUCUUUGCAAGAAGGGCUCCGUGUCCAUCACUGUAGUAGUUAUGGCUCCAUGAUCCUGCAAAGUGCUUGGUGUACUUCAUUCUAUAAAUAUAUACUAAGUACUUAUUAUAUGCUACGGACUGUUCUAGAACUACAUGAUGCAUAAAAUAUGCUCCUCCCUCUCAUGGAGUGUGAUCUACUGGAAGGACAGGCAUUAAACAGAUUGUGGUGAGUUCAAUGAAGGAAAAGAACUAGGUGUGUUUAGAAAGAAUUAACACACACACACAUACACACACAAAAAGAAAGAAUUAACAGAGGGACAUAAUUUAGACUGCAGGAGGGUGCAGGAGGGUGUCAGGGCAGGGUCUCUGAGAAAGUGACAUUCACGUGGAGGCUGGCAGGGUGAGAAGGCAAUAACCCUCUACUGGAAGAAUACAGUGAAGGGUAAUCCAGGCAUAGGAGACAGCCCUUGUGAAGGUUUUGGAGCCCCAAGACCUUGCUGUAUAUAAUAUGCUCAAUACACGUGUGUUUGUCGGUGCCCGCUCAGAGCUGUAGGUGUGGUCCAGGUCUGCCCCCCAAGUGUCUCAUCCUGCUUGAACUAGUGCUAUCAGGGUUGGGUAUUCUCGUGGUGCUGGUAGAAGCCCAAGAAGGCAAGCCCAACUAUGCAAACCCAUUACAGCUGCCAUUUAUGCGCUUUCCGCAUUUCACUGGACAAAGGCGGUCACAAGAUCCAGCCCAGCAUCAACGCAGCAUCCAUGGAAAAGAGGGACAGAGUCUAGGGAAAUAUGGAUGUGACCAGUGGCUCCUCCAACUCUCAAGUGGUAAGCAGACAACUGUGCCAUGUGUUCGGCAAACCCUGAAGUGUGGCAUUACCAUAGUAAUCAAGAGUCAGGGGCUUAACUAAUUGAGCCACCCAGGCGCCCCUGGAAUAAACUCUUUUAAUCCAUGGUCUCUUUCCCUGUU